UUUUUAAAAAUUCUUCUCAAACAUCGAUCUUUGAGAAUUGCCGCCAUUUUUAUAACUAAUGAUCUCCCAUGUACUGCUGCUUGUCCACUGCUGCCACUAACAACGUUCAAACCUUGAAGAUGAGUUGCGCUACCAUCAACAAACAAUGUUGGAUGAAAACUUAACGAUUGUUGUUCAUCAACUUCGCUUACUGCGCGCUGAAAAGCCAUAUUUGUGUAAACAUUUUGCUGCGCAAUAUAGUCAAAUCGUGCCAUUCUUCCGCAGUCUAUAAAUAACAAGUUCAAACAAUGAUGAUGUAAAUUAGGAAAAAAAAGAUUAAUUCAAUC